CUGUUUUUCCAGCAGGUAAAAUCAUUCCUCCUCGUAAUGCAGGAAUACCAAGAGCCUGAAGCAGCAGGAAAGAUUGCAGAUCUCUGAAGGCAUUAUAGAGGGAGGAGCCAAUCUGUGCAUCUCCAGGCUUAAAAGGAAGACCCUAAUGCAGAUUGCUGAACCUGAACAGCUGCCUGUGGGAAAUGGCAAGUUGAAUGACGUGAAGCCUUGAGCUCAUCCUGGAAUUCUCCUUCCCUUGCAGCACUCCUCACACCUCCAGCACCUGGCACUUCUCUUCAGGGCCAACGGGGGAAAAAGCCUCUGGAUGCUGUCUCCGAAUUCAGUCAAGAAUGGUGAUUCUGGCACGUUGCUUUGUGCCUUGAAGAACAGUUAUUUGACCCAGCCAGCCCUGGAACAAGCAGCUGUGACAGCAAGGU